CCUACGGGUGGCAGCAGUGAGGAAUAUUGGUCAAUGGUCGGGAGACUGAACCAGCCAAGCCGCGUGAGGGAUGAAGGUACAGAGUAUCGUAAACCUCUUUUGUCAGGGAACAAAGGCGGGGACGUGUCCCCGGAUGAGUGUACCUGAAGAAAAAGCAUCGACUAACUCCGUGCCAGCAGCCGCGGUAAUACGGAGGAUGCGAGCGUUAUCCGGAUUUAUUGGGUUUAAAGGGUGCGCAGGCGGUCUGUUAAGUCAGCGGUCAAAGCCCGGGGCUCAACCCCGGCCCGCCGUUGAAACUGGCAGUCUCGAGUUGGCGAGAAGUAUGCGGAAUGCGUGUUGUAGCGGUGAAAUGCAUAGAUAUCACGCAGAACGCCGAUUGCGAAGGCAGCAUACCGGCGCCCGACUGACGCUGAGGCACGAAAGCGUGGGGAUCGAACAGGAUUAGAUACCCCAGUAGUC
rnacentral:rRNA from 1 species